AUGAGGGGCGCCGGCGGCGAAAAGGAGGCAUUCUUCCACUGCCUGGACCGCGUGCCGUCUGGCAUCCACAUCGACACCGACCACCCCUCCGACGACGACGAUGACGAGGAAGAGGCCCGUUCCUCCUUCUCCUCCGCCAUGGGCGACCACAACUUCCAGAGCUUCCGCCGGCCCCAGUCGGCCAUGCUGCUGGAGGACGAGGACCAGGAGCCGGAGCCGGAGAUGGAGGACGCGUCCAAGUACGACAUGUGGAUGUCCGACGAGCCCAUGUCCAUCCAGGAGCGCCGCCGCCGCCUGCACCAGGGCCUGGGGAUGGUCAGCAGCCGGGACCUCGCGCUGCGCCGCCACAGCACCAAGAAGCGCUUCAUCGACGUGCCGCGGAGCGUGUCCAGGAGGAUGCAGCAGAUGCCACCGUCGUUGCCCGUCGCGCCCGCCGCCAACGCCCCGACUCCGAGCGUUGCCGCCGCGGAGACAGCUCGCGCGCCGCCGUCGGGACUGGCCGCGGCGCGCGAGAUGCUCAAACAGCCGCCGGCCAAACCCAUCACGAGACGCCGGUCGGACGGCUUCCUCGCCGUGCGAGACGGCUCCGGAAGGCCGUCUCUGCGUCGUGCCCGCUCCUUGCUCAGCCCGCACGACCCCUGCAGCAGCUCACUCAUCGAUAAGUUUAAAGCGACACGUGAUAUGCCCGCUGGCCAGGUGACCAUGCCGGCAUCAGCGCCCGCGGGUAAGGGCACCAAAGGCGACGGGGACGACGGCGGCCAGACCAAGAAACAGGACAACAUCAAGGAGGGCGCCGUCAUGGCUGCGCCCAAGGACCAGAACCAGACCGGCGUGCAGCAUGGUCUGGAGGAGAUCGAGAAGUUCAUCGGCAACACCCCCAUCAUGAAGCACCUAAUGCGGCGCGGCCCGAGCCAGCACCACCAGCCCAUGCCGCCGGCUGCAGCCGCGGCACCGCCCAAGGGCGACAAGUCGGCGGCCAAGAAGAAGGGCGGAUGGCUCAAGAACAUCAAGUCAGUCGCCACCACCAUCGGCUUCAUCCAAGACAAUGGUAAGCCGGUCCCCGCCGGCAUGGCCACAGGCGCAGCCCCCAGUACGGGCCCCGCCAGUGCAGCCGUUCCACCUUCCUCCUCCUCGACGUCCACGGAGAAGCUCAAGGUUCAAAACUAUGGCAAGUCGAGCAAGGAGCUCACUGGAUUGUACAUGUCCCAGGAGAUCCAGGCGCACGAGGGAUCCAUAUGGAGCAUCAAGUUCAGCGCGGACGGGCGGCGGCUGGCGAGCGCCGGCGAGGACUGCCUGGUGCGCGUGUGGGAGGUGGUGGAGACCAGCGCGCCGCCGAGCUCCGUGCCGCAGGACGGGUCCCUGCCCCCUCUGCCCGGCGGGCCGGACGGAUCGUCGCAGGCGCCGGGGCUGUCCAAGAAGUCGACGACCAAGGGCGGCAAGACCGCGCUCCCGGAGCACCUCGUGGUCCCCGACAAGGUGUUCGCGCUGGCCGAGCAGGCGCUGUGCGUCCUGGAGGGGCACGAGGACGACGUGCUGGACCUCACCUGGUCCAAGUCCGAUCAGUUGCUGUCGUCGUCCAUGGACAAGACGGUGCGGCUGUGGGACACGGCGAGCAAGGCCUGCCUCAAGAAGUUCUCGCACAGCGACUACGUGACGAGCAUCCAGUUCAACCCGGUGGAUGACCGGUACUUCAUCAGCGGCUCGCUGGACGCCAAGGUGCGCCUGUGGAGCAUCCCCAACCGGCAGGUCGUCGACUGGACCGACGUCAAAGAGAUGGUCACCGCCGCUUCCUAUUCCCCCGACGGCCAGAGCGCUAUCAUCGGCUCGCACCAAGGAAGCUGCCGGUUCUACAAGACAGCAGACUGCAAGAUCAGCCCGGAGGCACAGAUCGACGUCCAGUCCAAGAAGCGCAAGUCGCAGGCCAAGAAGAUCACCGGAUUCCAGUAUGCCCCGGGGAACCCGUCGGAAGUGCUGGUCACCUCCGCCGACUCGCAGAUCCGCGUCUUCGACGGCGUCACCAUGGUCCAGAAGUUCAGAGGAUUCAAGAACACGAGCAGCCAGAUCGCGGCGGCCUACACCUCGGACGGGCGGUACGUGGUGUGCGCGAGCGAGGACUCGCACGUCUACAUCUGGAGGACCACCCGGAGCGCGCCCGCCGCGGCGGCCAUCGGCAUCGGCAUGAAGCCCAAGACGUGGUGCACCAUCCGCUCCUACGAGAACUUCUACUGCAAGGACAUCUCCGCCGCCAUCCCGUGGACCCACUCGCCGUCCCUGCCCGGCAGCCCCAAGUCGCACCAGGGCGCCGUGUCGUGCAACGACGACGUGUGCAGCAUGGCGAGCCACGCCGCCAAGCCGGACGUGAGCAAGAGCGGCGAGCUGAGCAGCCCCGCCGUGCCGUCGCCGCACUCGGGCCCGCUAGACACGCCGUCGUCGCGGCACGCCAGCAAGACCGGAACCAACGCCCCGGACAGCGGCAACGCGUGGGGCUUGGUGGUGGUCACGGCGACCUUGAGCGGCGAGAUAAAGGUGUACCAGAACUUCGGGACGCCCUUCAGGAUCAAAGGCCAGGGAAAUCUGUUUUACUGA
rnacentral:rRNA from 1 species